AUACGGAGGGUCCGAGCGUUAUCCGGAAUCAUUGGGUUUAAAGGGUCCGUAGGCGGGAAUCUAAGUCAGUGGUGAAAUCUUGCAGCUCAACUGUAAAAUUGCCAUUGAUACUGGAGUUCUUGAAUUAGUGUGAAGUGGUUAGAAUGUGUAGUGUAGCGGUGAAAUGCAUAGAUAUUACACAGAAUACCAAUUGCGAAGGCAGAUCACUAACACUAUAUUGACGCUAAGGGACGAAAGCGUGGGGAGCGAACAGGAUUAGAAACCCCGGUAGUCC
rnacentral:rRNA from 1 species